rnacentral:lncRNA from 1 species
UCAAUUUUUUAAAUGUAUGGAGAGAAUGUUUUCUGCAGAAACAGCCUGGGGUUUCAGGAAGGCAGGCCCAGUUCAGGGGUGCCUUGGGAGCAAAGGUCCUGUCAUUCCAACACUAAGAAUUAGACCUUUACGAGAAGCACAGUUUUGUCUUCAGUUUCCUCUCCCCCCACCCGGAAUGGCCUGAGCCGAAGCCAGCUCCCUCCGAGAAGUCAUUACCGCCUGACUUGCGUUUGAUAUUUAGACACCUUGGUCACAACAUCUUGCAUUCUCUCGGGAUGCUGAUUUCUAACUGCUCUUUGGCCUUUCCUGCAUUGGUCCUCCUCAGGCAGGGGAUCCCUGCUCUUCUAUAUUAGUGAGAAAACCAAGGCUCA